AAGCAUAGCAGUGUGAACAGACAACACAGAGUUACACAUGGAGUUAAACAAUUAACAAGUCAAUAACACAGUAGAAAAAAAAGAGAGUCUAUAUACAUUGUGUACAAAAGGCAUGAGGAGGUAGGCGAAUAAUUGCAAUUUUGCAGAUUAACACUGGAGUGAUAAAUGAUCAGAUGGUCAUGUACAGGUAGAGAUAUUGGUGUGCAAAAUAGCAGAAAAGUAAAUAAAUAAAAACAGUAUGGGGAUGAGGUAGGUAAAAUUGGGUGGGCCAUCUACCGAUAGACUAUGUACAGCUGCAGCGAUCGGUUAGCUGCUCAGAUAGCAGAUGUUUGAAGUUGGUGAGGGAAAUAAAAGUCUCCAACUUCAGCGAUUUUUGCAAUUCGUUCCAGUCACAGGCAGCAGAGAACUGGAAUGAAAGGCGGCCAAAUGAGGUGUUGGCUUUAGGGAUGAUCAGUGAGAUACACCUGCUGGAGCGCGUGCUACGGGUGGGUAUAGAGGUAUGGGACUGUAGGUGGAGGUAAAGAGGUAUGGGACUGUAGGUGGAGGUAUAGAGGUAUGGGACUGUAGGUGGAGGUAGAGAGGUAUGGGACUGUAGGUGGAGGUAAAGAGGUAUGGGACUGUAGGUGGAGGUAUGGGACUGUAGGUGGAGGUAAAGAGGUAUGGGACUGUAGGUGGAGGUAUAGAGGUAUGUGACUGUAGGUGGAGGUAAAGAGGUAUGGGACUGUAGGUGGAGGUAGAGAGGUAUGUGACUGUAGGUGGAGGUAGAGGUAUGGGACUGUAGGUGGAGGUAGAGAGGUAUGUGACUGUAGGUGGAGGUAGUAUGUGACUGUAGGUGGAGGUAGUAUGUGACUGUAGGUGGAGGUAGUAUGUGCCUGUAGGUGAAGGUAAAGAGGUAUGGGACUGUAGGUGGAGGUAGAGAGGUAUGGGACUGUAGGUGGAGGUAAAGAUCAAAUCAAAUCCAAUUUAUUUAUAUAGCCCUUCGUACAUCAGCUGAUAUCUCAAAGUGCUGUACAGAAACCCAGCCUAAAACCCCAAACAGCAAUCAAUGCAGGUGUAGAAGCACAGUGGCUAGGAAAAACUCCCUAGAAAGGCCAAAACCUAGGAAGAAACCUAGAGAGGAACCAGGCUAUGUUGGGUGGCCAGUCCUCUUCUGGCUGUGCCGGGUGGAGAUUAUAACAGAACAUGGCCAAGAUGUUCAAAUGUUCAUAAAUGACCAGCAUGGUCGUAUAAUAAUAAGGCAGAACAGUUGAAACUGGAGUAGCAGCACGGUCAGGUGGACUGGGGACAGCAAGGAGUCAUCAUGUCAGGUAGUCCUGGGCCAUGGUCCUAGGGCUCAGGUCCUCCGAGAGAGAGAGAUAAAGAGAGAAAGAGAGAAUUAGAGAACGCACACCUAGAUUCACACAGGACACCGAAUAGGACAGGAGAAGUACUCCAGAUAUAACAAACUGACCCUAGCCCCCCGACACAUAAACUACUGCAGCAUAAAUACUAGAGGCUGAGACAGGAGGGGUCAGGAGAGGUAUGAGACUGUAGGUGGAGCUAAAAUGGUAUGGGACUGUAGGUGGAGGUAAAAUGGUAUGGGACUGUAGGUGGAGGUAGAGAGGUAUGUGACUGUAGGUGGAGGUAGAGAGGUAUGGGACUGUAGGUGGAGGUAGAGAGGUAUGUGACUGUAGGUGGAGGUAGAGAGGUAUGUGACUGUAGGUGGAGGUAGAGAGGUAUGUGACUGUAG
ensembl:lncRNA